GUGGGGAAAUUGUGACGCGCGGACAAGCAUAUCGGCUCACAUUUUCAACGGCAUCGGCGACGGCAGGUACACACCCGGCCGUUCACAGACGUAGUAGGCUAGAGACUCGCUUGCAAUGGGGAUGAGAAGAGGAGGAGGGGAAUGAGGGAGACUCGUAGAAGGGGGUGGUUGUGCAUUUAGCGAGCUGUCGCCCCCAACCAAUUCGCCGUGUCAGCCACUGACAGUUUUCAUUCCACGCACACUCGACGUGCAAGCGGCGGUCUCCUCUUCUUGCUCGUUUCGUUCCUACGACGACGACUACGACGACGAAGACGACGACGACAACGAUGCUGAGGAUGCUGUGGCUGCUAAGGCUGUUAAAGAGAAGGAGAAGACAGCGUUCCGACCGUCGAGAUUAAUUAUUUGGUCGAAGGACCGCACGACGCGACGACAACACGUUGAAGAGUAGUCACGGACAAGCCUUUGCCCAAUCCAAGAUAUUCUUCUUCUUUUAUUCUUUCGUCUUCUUCUUCAUUUUUUCCUCCUUGUAUAUCCUUUUGUCUUACGAUCAUGGUUUCUAUUCGUUAUCGUACAGAAUUCCUUCUCUCUCUCUCGUCGGUCACUGAGUUCCAUUCCGAAAUGCGUUCCAGAAUCAGUGAUUCGAGAAGAGAUGUGAAUGGUGAGCGGUUAUCUCGAUCGAUACCUCGGAUAUUUAUUCUAUCGGAACUAUAUCGAAGAUCUCGUGAACUUUCUAUGCGGUACAUUAUAAUUAGUUAGAGAGAAACGAUCUUUUGAAGAUCUUCCUUUCGAUAAUCUGAGAAGUGGUGAGUAUACAUACACAACGAUGCCGAUAACCUGAUAAAAUUCAAAGUCUUUUUAAUCUUGCAGCUUCGAUAGUUUCGACGCAUAAUCGAUUUCUUGGGAAUGACGAAGAGAGAUUGAACUCGAUAACCUAGAUCUUUCGACGCUCGUGAUACUUCCGUAGUAUUCAUAUCCACAUACAUACUUACAGAAAAUUUUUUUUUUAAGUCAGUCUCUUUUUAAGUAUUCUUGCCUGAAGUGUCUCAUAUAAUCACGACAAAGCUUUCUUCGUUAUAAUUUUAUAUUACAAUACACGUGAAAUAUUUCAAUUCUGUUUAUAGUUUUACAAAAUACAUUAAAGUAGCAAUUCUUAUAUAUUUGUAUAAUCGUCAAUUUUAUCGUGAAAAUGAUCUUGAAAUGAUAAAUCUACUGUCUUUAGGUACGAGAAAACGAUUUAACUAACUUUGAGACUUUGGGUAAAUUCAUUUAGUUGGUUAAGUAACCAGUUAAACUAUAAAUGAUUUUAUCAUUUUACAGAAUUUGCAUAACGUUAGAUGGACUUGGCACAGUGCAUGAUGCCUGGUAGACGCCCUACGAAACAUCGAGAUUUCAACUGUAAUAAGAACACAGCACCGUUGGAAGAAGAGCAAGAAUGGAAUGCUGCACGUUGCCUUUACUUGAAUCAAGAAGCUAAGCAAUUUGAAAGUCCUGCUAUCAUCAGAGAAUUUACGUCUCUCUCGUAAUAUUGUAUGGAAAGAAGUGUGGAAUACCAUGGAAGUUAACUCGAAUAUAAUGCCUAUGGAACACGAUUAUAAAGAACCCCGACAACAUGGAGAAUUUCAAUACCGUAGCCAAAUAGCUACAAAAAAUUUUUUAUAUCCUCCCUCUUUUACUGAGCGAGCUAUGCUGGGUCUUUCAAAUAUUUUUAUU